GUCUGCCUGAGCUGACUGCAAGUGACCCAGAUGCGUUGAAGGUGGAACCAUUUCCCUUUUACCUGGAACAACCAAGUGCCUUCCAGGAUGGGGGUGUUUCCCCCUCACAGUCACCCGUGGCUCUCACUCCUCCCUAUCCCUUAGCAUCCCUCUUAGUCUCUGAGCGAGCUGAACCCACUCCAAAUCAAGUAACUGGGUUUACGCUA